CUGUUGUCAUAAUGUCCCCAUUAUCUGAAGAGAUGACUCCAGUCUCACCUGUCACCCGACUGCAACCAGAUGAGAAGCCCCAGGUGAGACCAGUGGAAGAACUGCCUACAUGAUCUCAGACAACCUACAGAAUCACAAGAGGUAAUAAAAUAGUUGUUCUUUAAAACCACCAAGUCCUGGUACGGUUUCCUGUGCAGUGAUAGAUAACCACUUAUUGUAUAAUGUUUGUAUAUACUACAUAAUUUGUUUUCUUUCUUACCUUUCUAAAUAUUAGAAUGUUUUAAUAUUUUAAUGUUAGUUAGAAUGUUGGUGGUUGACUUUACAAUGUAGUAUUUAGGAUGCAGAAUAUUUUGAUGGCAUUGUAACUAAACUAGGAGACGAAAUAACAUCAUCCAAAAAUAGAAAUAGUGACUGUUAGGGUCAUCUGGGGAGUGGGGGAGUGAGUGAUGGGAUAUUCAUUUGUAUGAAGAAUAAUUUCAUCAUUUAGGUGGAAGCAUGCCAUAUAAUUGUUGCAUCAACAUUUAAAUAUGGGUAGAAAUGUGUCUGUGGAUACCUUAGGGUCAAAGGAGUAGAGCGUAGGCUAGUUGAUGCCACAGUAACACAUAACCACCAAAUCUAAGUGGCCUAACAUCUCAGUGGCUUGUUUCUCCUUAUAUUCCAUAAACCAGUACUGCAGGGGACCCUGCACCUUGUCAUUCAAGGGCUGCUGUCUCCUAACUCUGCCAUUUCAAUGUGGGGCCUCAGGGUUUGCAGCAGCAGAAGGGAAUGUAGGUAAUUAAGCACCAGCUCUUAGCUGUUUCUACUCACAAGUGAUUCACAGCAGUUUAUAAACAUUCCUAUGGCCAAGGAAAUUGCAGGGCACGGCCUGCGAUAUGUCAUGUUCCUGUGUGUCUAGGGAAUGGGAAAUGUUAAUGAAUUCUAGUAACGUCAGUCACAGUGUUCUUCUAGUACUUUGCCUCCCUCCAGUUUUACCUUCACCCUAUCAUUCUCUAUACUACCACCUGGGAGAUUUUUGUAAAAUGCAAAUCUGACAUGUGUCUUGCUUGAAAUCUACCAUGGACCCCUGUUAUUCACAGCAUGAAGGCUGACUUCUGAUUUUGAAAAAAAUUUUCCUAAUCUAAUCUUUCUCAAUCCUGUCCCACAGCAGCCCACCCUUCAAUUAUAUUGACCUUACUUGCAGUAAGGAGCAGAAACCAUGCUUAUUAUUUGAGCAGGGUAAACUUAAUAUAAAGGAUUAUUAACUAGUAGAGGCUGGUUAACUAUGAAAAGAGGGAGAUUUAAACUUCUUAGAAGACAGGGUGUCUGUCAUAGGUACACACAGCCUUCGGAUGGAGAAGAAACCUGUUAGAGGUGUAGGUUAGCACUGUUCUCUAGAAGUGGUCUCGUCUUAGAGGAUGUGAGUUGGCCAGGACUGGCCUCUGGAAGUGGCCUGCCAUUGCUGGAGGGUAUGUGCUGGAUAUGGCUGCUGGUAGAGAGAGAGAGAGUGGUCUAAUGGCCAGUUGGAACGCUUCUAGGUGGAUGCCAGGCUCUAGUGAUGAAUAGUAAUAAUAAGGGAUCAGUAACUGAAACAGAAGUGUCUUACUGUUAUCAUUGCCUUGCAGGGGGUCAUUCCAGUGCUUUCUAUUGAUGAAACUUAAAAUUCUGCCACCUGAUGACGGAGAACUUUUUGCAGGAUCCAAGUCCAGUAUCACAAAGUGCAGGGCAAAGAAGAGUGGAUUUGGAAUGGAGAGCCAAUAAAUUGAUAACUUGC
rnacentral:lncRNA from 1 species